CGUGUCGUGAGAUGUCGGGUUAAGUCCCUUAACGAGCGAAACCCUUAUCUCUAGUUGCCAGCGAGUAAUGUCGGGGACUCUAGAGAGACCGCCGGUGUUAAACCGGAGGAAGGUGGGGAUGACGUCAAGUCCUCAUGGCCCUUACGCGCUGGGCUACACACGUGCUACAAUGGCAACUACAGUGGGCAGCAACCUCGCGAGGGGUAGCUAAUCUCCAAAAGUUGUCUCAGUUCGGAUUGUUCUCUGCAACUCGAGAGCAUGAAGGCGGAAUCGCUAGUAAUCGCGGAUCAGCAUGCCGCGGUGAAUACGUUCCCAGGCCUUGUACACACCGCCCGUCACACCAUGGGAGUUGGUUUCACCCGAAGGCAGUGCUCUAACCCGCAAGGGAGGAAGCUGACCACGGUGGGAUCAGCGACUGGGGUGAAGUCGUAACAAGGUAGCCGUAGGGGAACCUGCGGCUGGAUCACC
rnacentral:rRNA from 1 species